UGCUGAUUCAAACCUCAUUAUUUAGUGAGCAAAAUGCUUAAUUAAUAUACAAUGUAUGACCAUUGACAUGAGCCUAUCUUAAUCUCCGCACAAGAUAUUGACAACAAAGGCUAACAUAUGUAUAUAAUUCAUGAUCUUAAAGUUUUUUAUUUAACACACUUGGGAUGUGCAUGCAGUCUACUAUACUUCGCAUUAGGCAGAAUACAGAAACUGACUCAUGCCAACGUUAUAUAAAAGUUCAUCACGCCUUACAAAGUGCUGCACUAGUUACACGGUACAUUCGUAUUCAGUCCAUCCAUAUCCCCAUCAAGAGACUACCACCAUGGAUAACAUCUUAAAUCUCUACCUAUCAGACCUCCAGCCAUUGGUACUCUCCCUAUAAUGUCCACUUCUAUAUCAGGUAUCAGUGGGAAGACCAGAGGAAAGCACCCAUGGCAAACUUCCUCUUAUAGUCGAGGUCGCCGGCCACGGGGAGGCCGUACUCCCUAAGGAGGCAGUUUAGCUUCCACUCGGGCAUCGUCUCGUAGUCGGCCUUGGUGUACCUCGGGUAGUGGAGAGGCAUCUGGAAGUAGCUUGCCCUCUCGUUCGCGUGCUGCUUGCCUCUCUGCCCACUGGCCAUGGGGCUCACCUUGGCUACACCGCGGGCGGCCGAGCUCAUGGCUGCCGGCACUCUACUAUAUCCUCUGCCUCGAGUUUUUU
rnacentral:lncRNA from 1 species